CUUAGAAUACGAUAUAAAAUAAAUUUUUAUUAUUAUAAAAGUACACAUUCACAAAAACAAAGAGAAAAGAAAAAAAUCAAAAUGAAUGUUUUAUUAUCCUUAAACUCAAGCUCAAGCCUAAUACAUAUUUUAAAACCACACAAACAUCAUCAUAUCCUUCCACUUUCAAAUAGUCAUCAAAGACAAUCUCUUAUAGUACAAUUUUUUGUCUCAUGUAGAGCCACAAAAAGUGUUCCCGUUAAUCAUAAUGAUGAUGAUAGAAACUUGUACAAGAUACUAUGUUUGAGUUCUAUAAACUCAACAAUGGAUUAG